UGCAAUUUCAUCUUCUGGUCAUUUACAUCAGAUCCAAGCCUAUACAUCACCUAGAUUUCUGUCUAUUUCUAAGUAUUCUACAAAUUUGCAUCUGAAUCAGCACAAAGAACGAAUAGAGGUAUGUCCUCAUCACUUCAAAUGAUUUCAGAAUUACUUUAUCGUUUUUCUUGGCAUUUUACGAAAUUUACAGUCAAUACAUGAUCAUAAACAAAAUUUUCGUUUCUUUCUCUUUCUUGAUUGGCAAGUUUGUUUACCAAAGAUCUUUGAAAUGAUACUCUAAUUGUGCCUGUUUUUGGUAAGAUGUUAUAAUCUAUGUAUGUUACAGAACGUAUGGAUGGUACUUUUGAUUCCUAAGAAAUGUGGGGAUAAAAGGUACUUUUGACGAGAAGUUAUAAUUGUUUACCUAUGUACAGAUCAUAAUUCAAAUAAAUCAAUCAAUACUCCAAAAGUCUAGAUCGCAUAACAUAUACAAGCACACAUAUAAAUGAUGCAUCCAAGUGUAACUAACUACACUUGUGUGCAAACUAAGAAUAGACUUGUUAAUAUUAGUCUAUCCAUAAUCCAUCCAAUAUGAACUCUCAAAAAUAUCAAAGUAGUACCCACGAAAAUACCAUAAAGAUAAACCCAAAAUAAGUCAACGGAUGUAUUCAUGAAACAGUGGGUGUGCGAUCGACAUAGAAAGAGGAAAAGAUACCAUAGGGAGCUCGAUUUGAUUAGGCCGAGUGAGGCCAAGUGUAGCCCGAGCAAUUGAGUGAGCCAUGCGCCUUGUUCGUUUGGAAAAGAGAGGUGUGGCUGUAAGAGAAAUACCCCUAAUGGGACCAAAUUGCAACUUGGUGAAAACUGAGGAAGAAGCGGCAGCAGCAGAAGUAGAAGCGAGGAGGGUUAGCGAUGACGCACUAAUGGUAGCCAUCGUUACGUGUGCCAGCCUUUAUGUAUUUAUAGCAGUAGAACGAAUAUAGAUAAAUGUAACGCUUAAACUUAGAAGUCGGACUCAUAGCGAGUGUGUAUAACUGAGUGAACGGGAAAUGGAUCGUAGUUUUUGUACUGGGGAUGGAUACGGAUGUUAAAUGGGUAGAGUUGAGCCGUUUGGCUCAAUCAUGUUUGGUUCAGUUCGAUCACGCUUGAUUGACUCGUUUUCAAAAAUUCUGACUUGGCUUGUCGUUGCGAGUUUUUUCCAACUUAAAAUUGCAUUUUUUACUACUUAAUGAUAAGUUGGCUCACGAGCUGAUAAGUGACUCACUUGAGAUUUGCGUUUGUAAUGCAAGCAGACAAAUGACACGUUCUACUUAAUACCUCUAGAUUUUGAAUGAUCGGUGCACCCACAUGCCAAAAUGUUUGAGAGUUGGUAUUGACACAAUAAGGCAAUGUACUAGUUGUCUUUGUAGGAACUAAUGCCUUGAAAUCAAUCUGGUUAUUGAACUAGAGAAAAAGAAGAGAAAAGUUAAAGGGUUGGUUUGGUUGAGUGGAUGGUAAAAACGUAUAAGAAAAAUAAAAUUUUGAGGUUAAAAAAAUUAGUUUACUAGUGAACCAGUUAACAUUUCAUGAACGGGUCGACUCUUGACUUGUUUUAAACAAUUUUAUUUUUUCAAAAUUUUUGGUAUAAAUUAGACCGAUAUUCUGGAUGGAUUGGGCUAAUUUGGUCCGAUUUUCAAAACAUUGGUAUUAACCAUAUAAUUUAGAGCAUGUUUAAAUUUCUUCUACAAACGAAGCGACUUAGUACAAAAUAGAUAUAUGCCAAUAAUGGCGAUAAAGUUAAGUCUUACAUGACUACUACACAUAACAUAAUGUUUCAAGGUGAAAAAAGUCUCGUCCUAUUUGAAAUCGUGUUUGCAUCAAAGAUUUGAUUGAACUUGAUUCAGUUAUUGUUCCUGUAAUAGUGAUCUUUCACAAUGGUGACAUUUACUAUGGUGAUGAAUAUUUGCAUAAUGGUUCAAAGUAUUGGACUGUGAAUUACACAUUUAUAGAAAACUAUUUCAAAUAAACUUCCAAAAUAGUUCAUCCAUCUAGAUAUUUAUGAGCAUAUGAUUGUAUGUUUCUUUAAGAGAUACACAAGUAACAGUUGAAGGGGUAUCUGUUAACACCUGAAUUGUUUGAUGGGCCUAUGACAAAAUUUGAAUUACAUUUUUUCAAGCAGAGGAGAAAGUAAUUGGAGAACAUUUGUUGGAGUCGGAAAAUGUAUGCGCUCGAUAAACUAGUUGAGCUAUAGGGGAUUGCCUCUAGCUUUCCAUUCAAGUGGAAACUAUCUACUUCCUCCAAUGAAUACAAGAAGUGUAUCAUCAUGAGAUAUCCAGAGGAUGACGAAGAGCAUAAAUUUUCAUGAUGAUUUGACAUAUCUGCAAAUAAGAAGUGGAUAGAAGUAAUAGAAGAAGUGAUCGAGUCAAGAAAUCCAGACAAGUCAAGGAUUCGGUGGAUGUUCUUACUAGCUAACAAAUUUUGGAGAAUAAUGUGAGUUUUGAAAUUAGAGCACAAGGCUAACGAGUCUAUUACUAACUUCAUUUUUGGACAAAAGAAUGAAAAAUUGAAGCGAGAUUUACUUUUGGACGAUUAUAUUAACCAUAAUAGUAGGUUGUAUUUAGAGUUGCUCCAAAUAGAUUUAGAGACUAUAUUUCAUUUUUCAAUGGGGAAUUUGUUCAAGAGAAUUGCACAAAUGAUUUGUAGAUUUCAGUUUUAAAGUCCAUAAGAACUGUAUCAUAACUCUUAAUAGUUAUAUUUAUGGCAUGAAGUAAUUAUCUUGAUAGUGGUACUGAAAUUUGACAAGCUUAAAUUUCGUACAAUUUUAUUAUGUAGAUAAAGAUCACUGUAUUUAUGGGCUGAUUUCAACGGGAUCUCGUAACAAUCCAACUAAUGAAAUUAUUUGUUGAUUCAUGAAGUAUGACACGCAUGUGGAGAAGUGCUAUUAUUUUGUCAAUAAAUGUAGCAUGUUUAGAUAGGUUUGUAAUUAAAUUAAGAAUAAUGUUAUUUGCAAUCACUCACUAUUUUAGUAAUUGUAAUCAUCUUACGUGACAUACAUGUGACGAUUAAUGAUUUGAUACAUAAGUCAAUAAAAAACUACCACAUUCAUACAUCAAAUUAUUAACUGUCGUAUGUAUAUCAUGUAAGAUGACUAUAACAGUAAGUGAUUACAAAUAACAUUGCUCUUAAAUUAGUCUCUACUUGAACUCCUUUUUUUCAAAAUUUAUUUACAAUUACACAUUCUCCCAUAAAAUAAUUUCAUAUAUAAAUUUAAAAUUUUUUUCUACUUUUUAAUCACAUAUUCUCUAAAAUGUCACUAUUUGAAAAUACAUUUCUCCCACAAAUUAAAUGGGUUUAAAGAAGGGCUUAAUAAAACAAGAUAUUAACAUUUUUUUUUUUUGACCUUUAAUUUUGUGCUGUACUGUACACCUUCUCACUGUGUGUAAGAGAGAAUUGUUUGGGAGCCAAGUCCUCUAAAUAAAGAAUAACACUAUCUAGAAUUAUUGAUUCUACAAUACCAUUUUAGGUGGAGUUAAGCCCUCAUAUAGUAUAAAUUAAAAUUUUAAUUUUAAUUUAAAUCAAAAUUAAUAAUUAAUUUUAACCACAUAUUUUGUAGGAUCCACAACAUUUCAACCAUAUAUUUCAACAAUUUUUAUUGAAAUCUACUAAAAAUUUAAUUUUAAACCCCACCAAACAGGAACUAAAUGCUAUGCUUAAUAAAAGAUAUAAUUAAAUUAUUCAUUUAAUUAUACCUCUAGUUAAAUGUAACGGUACCAUCACCUAAGCAAGGUAUGAAUCUAAACUCAUGUUUGGUUUUAAUUAAAUCUGAUUUUAGUUUAAAUCAAAAUUAAAUAAUUUAUAUUAACCAUACUUUCAUAAGUCUUAUAAUUUUUCAACCAUACAUUUUCAAAAUUUCAACCAUAAUUUACUAAAAAUAUAAUUUUAAUUCCCAUCGAAUCAUCGCCGGUUGAUGAAUGUCGAAGAAGAAAAGUCAAAUUAAGUCGACUCAUGUGUCUCUUUUGUGUCCACUGCCACACAGAAUUUCUCUCUCCUAAGCAGCCUUUUUAGACAAAGUCCAUAAAAGGUCAAAGCAACUUGCUAACCACUGCAAUUUCAUCUUCUGUCAUUUACAUCAGAUCCAAGCCUAUACAUCACCUAGAUUUCUGUCUAUUUCUAAGUAUUCUACAAAUUUGCAUCUGAAUCAGCACAAAGAACGAAUAGAGGUAUGUCCUCAUCACUUCAAAUGAUUUCAGAAUUACUUUAUCGUUUUUCUUGGCAUUUUACGAAAUUUACAGUCAAUACAUGAUCAUAAACAAAAUUUUCGUUUCUUUCUCUUUCUUGAUUGGCAAGUUUGUUUACCAAAGAUCUUUGAAAUGAUACUCUAAUUGUGCCUGUUUUUGGUAAGAUGUUAUAAUCUAUGUAUGUUACAGAACGUAUGGAUGGUACUUUUGAUUCCUAAGAAAUGUGGGGAUAAAAGGUACUUUUGACGAGAAGUUAUAAUUGUUUACCUAAAAAACACCUAACCAUGUUCCCGCCUGUUCUUAUGUUACCUGCAUUUGACGAUUGGGCUCUUUCUUUGCAACUUCAUCUUAUAGACAUUUAU
rnacentral:lncRNA from 1 species